rnacentral:rRNA from 1 species
UACGUAGGGUGCAAGCGUUGUCCGGAAUUAUUGGGCGUAAAGAGCUCGUAGGCGGUCUGUCGCGUCGGCUGUGAAAACCCGGAGCUCAACUCCGGGCCUGCAGUCGAUACGGGCAGACUGGAGUUCGGCAAGGGAGACUGGAAUUCCUGGUGUAGCGGUGAAAUGCGUAGAUAUCGGGAGGAACACCAGUGGCGAAGGCGAUCACCUGGGGUUGUUCUGACGCUGAGGAGCGAAAGCUAGGGGAGCAAACGGG